GCCAUCCUCUUCUUGGGGCUGUGUUACUGUCCAAUGAACGUCUAGUGAGGAUAAUUAAACAACACAUUCGCAUCAAUUAGAGAGGUCUGCUUUAUCUUAGUGCAAUUUUAGGGGGA